UGAAAAAAGAAAGAAAGAAAGAAAGAAAGAAAGAAAGAAAGAAAGAAAGAAAGAAAGAAAGAAAGAAAAAAGAAAUCCUCUGGCAAUGGUGGCUCUGUUGUUGCUAGAACUGCUGUUCAGGAGAUUCUGACUUUUCUUUCUUUAUUGUAAAGCAUAUGCCUUGCUUUCCCCAGGAGUUGCUGAGACAGGCAGUAUUCUUCCAGACAGUCGGUGCAUUGAGUUGGUGGCACAGUAGCAAAUCAAGAUUGAUGUGUCCUUGUAGCAGUGUGUCUAAAGCAGUGUCAUCACUGUUUGGGACUGCUCUGUAGGUGUGCCUUUCAAAUCUCAUAUUUAUCACGUCUUUCUUUCUUACUUAGACCUGUAAUCAUCAUCACACAUUAAUUUUAACAUUGCUAGUGUUUACAGAAUGCUAAUUUUGUUCACUGUGACUCUAUAAGAUAUAUUGGACAAUAUAUUCGUUUUAUGCACAUUUUGCAUAUGAGGCUGCUGAGGGUCCCAAUUCACACAGCAGCUAUGUUCUGACAUCUUUGGCCAACCUUUGAUAUAGCAGGACUGGGAGAGAGAUGGUUAACACUGACAGCCCAGGAGAGACUGGGGCUUUGAACCCAGUGCCCAGGCAGGCAAUGGAGAGAAGUCUGGCUAGCCAGGGCAUGGGUCCGUGGGUCCAAGUAAAAAGAGAAUAGAUGUCAUUCCAGACUGGUGAUGGUUGUCUCUCUGCCCCAUAGAUCACCUGGUGUCACCUGAGAGGGAUCAGAGCAAACAGCUCUCUGCACACAGGCAACCAACUGCUUCAGGUCAGAGAGGGCAAGGAGCCAGUCCUGGCCUUCCAGGCGCUGGAAGUCUUGUUUAUAAAAUGAAGGUUUGAACCAGCCAAUGUUGAAGGUUCCUUCUGGAUCUAGAACACUUUUGCACUUUAAGAUUUUGUGAAUCAGCUAAGACAAACAGUUUGAAAACACAGU